rnacentral:rRNA from 1 species
UACGUAGGGGGCAAGCGUUGUCCGGAAUUAUUGGGCGUAAAGCGCGUGUAGGCGGCUCGGUAAGUCUGCUGUGAAAGUCCAGGGCUCAACCCUGGAAUGCCGGUGGAUACUGUCGAGCUCGAGUCCGGAAGAGGCGAGUGGAAUUCCUGGUGGUAGCGGUGAAAUGCGCAGAUAUCAGGAGGAACACCAAGUGGCGAAGGCAGCUCGCUGGGACGGUGACUGACGCUGAGACGCGAAAGCGUGGGGAGCAAACAGG